rnacentral:rRNA from 1 species
GAUGAACGCUGGCGGCGUGCCUAAUACAUGCAAGUCGAGCGAAUGGAUUAAGAGCUUGCUCUUAUGAAGUUAGCGGCGGACGGGUGAGUAACACGUGGGUAACCUGCCCAUAAGACUGGGAUAACUCCGGGAAACCGGGGCUAAUACCGGAUAACAUUUUGAACCGCAUGGUUCGAAAUUGAAAGGCGGCUUCGGCUGUCACUUAUGGAUGGACCCGCGUCGCAUUAGCUAGUUGGUGAGGUAACGGCUCACCAAGGCAACGAUGCGUAGCCGACCUGAGAGGGUGAUCGGCCACACUGGGACUGAGACACGGCCCAGACUCCUACGGGAGGCAGCGGCAGGGAAUCUUCCGCAAUGGACGAAAGUCUGACGGAGCAACGCCGCGUGAGUGAUGAAGGCUUUCGGGUCGUAAAACUCUGUUGUUAGGGAAGAACAAGUGCUGGUUGAAUAAGCUGGCACCUUGACGGUACCUAACCAGAAAGCCACGGCUAACUACGUGCCAGCAGCCGCCGUAA